GAGUUCUGAUUAUUGAAAGGUGCUUGCAUCUUGAUUUAAUUUUGAACGAGUGGCGGACGGGUGAGUAACACGUGGGUAACCUGCCCUUAAGUGGGGGAUAACAUUUGGAAACAGAUGCUAAUACCGCAUAAAUCCAAGAACCGCAUGGUUCUUGGCUGAAAGAUGGCGUAAGCUAUCGCUUUUGGAUGGACCCGCGGCGUAUUAGCUAGUUGGUGAGGUAACGGCUCACCAAGGCAAUGAUACGUAGCCGAACUGAGAGGUUGAUCGGCCACAUUGGGACUGAGACACGGCCCAAACUCCUACGGGAGGCAGCAGUAGGGAAUCUUCCACAAUGGACGCAAGUCUGAUGGAGCAACGCCGCGUGAGUGAAGAAGGCUUUCGGGUCGUAAAACUCUGUUGUUGGAGAAGAAUGGUCGGCAGAGUAACUGUUGUCGGCGUGACGGUAUCCAACCAGAAAGCCACGGCUAACUACGUGCCAGCAGCCGCGGUAAUACGUAGGUGGCAAGCGUUAUCCGGAUUUAUUGGGCGUAAAGCGAGCGCAGGCGGUUUUUUAAGUCUGAUGUGAAAGCCCUCGGCUUAACCGAGGAAGUGCAUCGGAAACUGGGAAACUUGAGUGCAGAAGAGGACAGUGGAACUCCAUGUGUAGCGGUGAAAUGCGUAGAUAUAUGGAAGAACACCAGUGGCGAAGGCGGCUGUCUGGUCUGUAACUGACGCUGAGGCUCGAAAGCAUGGGUAGCGAACAGGAUUAGAUACCCUGGUAGUCCAUGCCGUAAACGAUGAAUGCUAGGUGUUGGAGGGUUUCCGCCCUUCAGUGCCGCAGCUAACGCAUUAAGCAUUCCGCCUGGGGAGUACGACCGCAAGGUUGAAACUCAAAGGAAUUGACGGGGGCCCGCACAAGCGGUGGAGCAUGUGGUUUAAUUCGAAGCAACGCGAAGAACCUUACCAGGUCUUGACAUCUUUUGAUCACCUGAGAGAUCAGGUUUCCCCUUCGGGGGCAAAAUGACAGGUGGUGCAUGGUUGUCGUCAGCUCGUGUCGUGAGAUGUUGGGUUAAGUCCCGCAACGAGCGCAACCCUUAUGACUAGUUGCCAGCAUUUAGUUGGGCACUCUAGUAAGACUGCCGGUGACAAACCGGAGGAAGGUGGGGAUGACGUCAAAUCAUCAUGCCCCUUAUGACCUGGGCUACACACGUGCUACAAUGGAUGGUACAACGAGUUGCGAGACCGCGAGGUCAAGCUAAUCUCUUAAAGCCAUUCUCAGUUCGGACUGUAGGCUGCAACUCGCCUACACGAAGUCGGAAUCGCUAGUAAUCGCGGAUCAGCACGCCGCGGUGAAUACGUUCCCGGGCCUUGUACACACCGCCCGUCACACCAUGAGAGUUUGUAACACCCGAAGCCGGUGGCGUAACCC
rnacentral:rRNA from 2 species